GGAAUGCGGGCGUGCUUACACAUGCAGUCGAACGAUGAUCAGGAGCUUGCUCCUGUGAUUAGUGGCGAACGGGUGAGUAACACGUGAGUAACCUGCCCCUGACUCUGGGAUAAGCGUUGGAAACGACGUCUAAUACUGGAUACGACUGCCGGCCGCAUGGUCUGGUGGUGGAAAGAUUUUUUGGUUGGGGAUGGACUCGCGGCCUAUCAGCUUGUUGGUGAGGUAAUGGCUCACCAAGGCGACGACGGGUAGCCGGCCUGAGAGGGUGACCGGCCACACUGGGACUGAGACACGGCCCAGACUCCUACGGGAGGCAGCAGUGGGGAAUAUUGCACAAUGGGCGAAAGCCUGAUGCAGCAACGCCGCGUGAGGGAUGACGGCCUUCGGGUUGUAAACCUCUUUUAGUAGGGAAGAAGCGAAAGUGACGGUACCUGCAGAAAAAGCACCGGCUAACUACGUGCCAGCAGCCGCGGUAAUACGUAGGGUGCAAGCGUUGUCCGGAAUUAUUGGGCGUAAAGAGCUCGUAGGCGGUUUGUCGCGUCUGCUGUGAAAUCCCGAGGCUCAACCUCGGGCUUGCAGUGGGUACGGGCAGACUAGAGUGCGGUAGGGGAGAUUGGAAUUCCUGGUGUAGCGGUGGAAUGCGCAGAUAUCAGGAGGAACACCGAUGGCGAAGGCAGAUCUCUGGGCCGUAACUGACGCUGAGGAGCGAAAGCGUGGGGAGCGAACAGGAUUAGAUACCCUGGUAGUCCACGCCGUAAACGUUGGGCGCUAGAUGUAGGGACCUUUCCACGGUUUCUGUGUCGUAGCUAACGCAUUAAGCGCCCCGCCUGGGGAGUACGGCCGCAAGGCUAAAACUCAAAGGAAUUGACGGGGGGCCCGCACAAGCGGCGGAGCAUGCGGAUUAAUUUCGAUGCAACGCGAAGAACCCUUACCAAGGCUUGACAUACACCGGAAACGGGCCAGAG
rnacentral:rRNA from 1 species